UACGGAGGGUGCAAGCGUUAUCCGGAUUCACUGGGUUUAAAGGGUGCGUAGGCGGCCCUGUAAGUCAGUGCUGAAAUAUCCCAGCUUAACUGGGAGGGUGGCAUUGAUACUGCGGGGCUAGAGUACAGAUGAGGUAGGCGGAAUUGACGGUGUAGCGGUGAAAUGCGUUGAUAUCGGAAGGAACGCCGGUGGCGAAAGCGACCUGCUGGACCUCUUCUGACGCUGAGGCGCGAAAGCCAGGGGAGCGAACGGG
rnacentral:rRNA from 1 species